UUCAACCUGCUCUGCGCGACCAGUCCCUCAGCUCCUCCGCGCGACUAGUUCCUCAGUUCCUCCGCGCGACCAACUCAUCCGCACCACUUCCUCUGCGCGACCACUUCCUCUAGUCGAUUUGGUACGCUAAGCGCCUACAAGAAGAGUUUUCCAUGUUAAAUACGAAGAAGAAAGAAAGGUCUGCCAUUUUCAUAUCUUCCCUCAGUCUCCCCUCCAUGGCUUCUACUCCUCCACAGGAAUCUCAGGUGGCUUUUCCCCUCCUGCUCCUCCUCAACUAAGGUCCCAGGUGUAGCUCUAUUUUCUCCAUUUUCAUCUCCUCUGCAGAUUGGCGGAUCUCCUCCGCGACCACCACCUAAGUAAGCCUCUCAUAGUUCUCUUCGUCGGUCUCCCUUUCUCGCAAGCCUCUGUCAACAAUUUGUAUCUUGUUCUCUAGAUUUCAAUCUCUCAGAUUGAUGCCGCCCCCCUUCACGGGGUCUCCAUUUGGAUAGCCUCUAUCUCACAGUCAUCACUGUGCCUUUCUAAUGGAUCUGCCAAUGGGUACAUAUACACCAAAGCUAUUUGAGAAGAACAAAGUGUUGUUAUUUCUUUCAGUUCAGAAGAGAUUACUGUUGGCUUGAAUGUGCUUGGGUUGACAUUUUUGAUAAUGCUAUUGGGGAACCCACCCAGAUUUUCCAGAUCAUAAUUUCUUGGUGGAUGUGUUGAGAGAGAGAGAGAGAGAGAGAGAUACUUUUUAUACAAAGAUCUAAAAGCAAGAGAUUAUUAAAAUGAAGGUUAGAAUAUAUUGCAUACCUCUCAAUAAAGAUAAGUUUUGAGCUGCUGAGAUAUUACAUACCCUUGUGUUUCUUGUAAGAGAUCUCAUGGUGUUUGACUUGAUUAUUUCAUCCUUUAAAUUGAUCUACUUUUUUUUUCUUUUUAGCUGCCCCAAAGUACUACCAAAGUGUUGGGCCUUAGUGGAACCUAGUUUUGCUUUGCCGAGAUUGAGACUCAAGAAAGUGUGAUGGUUUUUGUUCUAAACUGAUUGAUUUUGUUACAUGUGAAUGAGUUUUUAACUAUUAUAUUAUGUUCACAGAUGCAAUUUGGAGUGGAUGAAACCCAACUAGAUAGCUUGACUGGGACACAACCAUCGCUAUAAGUCAAUGUACAUGGGAAAAAUCUGUUUGAGGAAUAUUGUACUGAUGUUAGAUCGAGGAAUAUUGUACUGAUGUUAAAUACUUUUUUUUUAUGUUAAUAAAUUAUAAUUUACUUA